rnacentral:rRNA from 1 species
GACGAACGCUGGCGGCGUGCCUAAUACAUGCAAGUAGAACGCUGAAGGAGGAGCUUGCUUCUCUGGAUGAGUUGCGAACGGGUGAGUAACGCGUAGGUAACCUGCCUGGUAGCGGGGGAUAACUAUUGGAAACGAUAGCUAAUACCGCAUAAUAGCAGUUGUUGCAUGACAACUGUUUGAAAGGUGCAAUUGCACCACUACCAGAUGGACCUGCGUUGUAUUAGCUAGUUGGUGGGGUAACGGCUCACCAAGGCGACGAUACAUAGCCGACCUGAGAGGGUGAGCGGCCACACUGGGACGGGGACACGGCCCAGACUCCUACGGGAGGCAGCAGGAGGGAAUCUUCGGCAAGGGACGGAAGUCUGACCGAGCAACGCCGCGUGAGGGAAGAAGGUUGUCGGAUCGUAAAGCUCUGUUGUAAGGGAAGAACGAGUGUGAGAGUGGAAAGUUCACACUGUGACGGUAUCUGACCAGAAAGGGACGGCUAACUACGUG